rnacentral:rRNA from 1 species
UAGUCCACGCCGUAAACGAUGAUCACUCGUUGUUGGCAAUACACCGUCAGCGACUAAGCGAAAGUGAUAAGUGAUCCACCUGGGGAGUACGUUCGCAAGAAUGAAACUCAAAGGAAUUGACGGGGGCCCGCACAAGCGGUGGAGCAUGUGGUUUAAUUCGAUGAUACGCGAGGAACCUUACCUGGGCUUGAACGUAUGAUGCUUAUAUUGGAAACGAUAUAUUCCUUCGGGACAUUAUGCGAGGUGCUGCAUGGUUGUCGUCAGUUCGUGCCGUGAGGUGUCGGGUUAAGUCCCGCAACGAGCGCAACCCUUGUCUUUAGUUGCCAUCAUUAAGUUGGGCACUUUAAAGAGACUGCCGGUGACAAACCGGAGGAAGGUAAGGAUGACGUCAAGUCAGCAUGCCCCUUAUGCUCUGGGCUACACACGUGCUACAAUGGCCGUGACAAAGAGUUGCUACUUUGUGAAAACAAGCUAAUCUCAUAAACGCGGCCUCAGUUCGGAUUG